UACGUAGGGUCCGAGCGUUGUCCGGAAUUAUUGGGCGUAAAGGGCUCGUAGGCGGUUUGUCGCGUCGGGAGUGAAAACAUCUGGCUUAACUGGGUGCUUGCUUUCGAUACGGGCAGACUGGAGGUAUGCAGGGGAGAACGGAAUUCCUGGUGUAGCGGUGAAAUGCGCAGAUAUCAGGAGGAACACCGGUGGCGAAGGCGGUUCUCUGGGACGGUACUGACGCUGAGACGCGAAAGCGUGGGGAGCGAACAGG
rnacentral:rRNA from 1 species